AGCGAACGCUGGCGGCAGGCCUAACACAUGCAAGUCGAACGAAGUCUUCGGACUUAGUGGCGGACGGGUGAGUAACACGUGGGAACGUACCUUUUGGUUCGGAACAACUCAGGGAAACUUGAGCUAAUACCGGAUGAGCCCUUAGGGGGAAAGAUUUAUCGCCGAAAGAGCGGCCCGCGUUAGAUUAGCUAGUUGGUGAGGUAAAGGCUCACCAAGGCUACGAUCUAUAGCUGGUCUGAGAGGAUGAUCAGCCACACUGGGACUGAGACACGGCCCAGACUCCUACGUGAGGCAGCAGUGGGGAAUCUUGCGCAAUGGGCGAAAGCCUGACGCAGCCAUGCCGCGUGAAUGAUGAAGGUCUUAGGAUUGUAAAAUUCUUUUACCAGUGACGAUAAUGACGGUACCUGGAGAAAAAGCCCCGGCUAACUUCGUGCCAGCCGCCGCGGUAAAAC
rnacentral:rRNA from 1 species